GUAAAAUAUAAAUAUACAGAAUGGAAGCCCUUAAUAUGUAUCGCUGGGAGGGAGAAUGGAUUCAGGGGAUACGGUAAAAUAUAAAUAUACAGAAUGGAAGCCAUUAAUAUGUAUCGCUGGGAGGGAGAAUGGAUUCAGGGGAUACGGUAAAAUCUAAAUAUACAGAAUGGAAGCCAUUAAUAUGUAUCGCUCGGAGGGAGAAUGGAUUCAGGGGAUACGGUAAAAUCUAAAUAUA